rnacentral:lncRNA from 1 species
AUUCAAUUAUUGAAUAGAAUAGACUGACACUACGACACUGACGGGUUCAUAUCACUAAAAUCUAAACUCUAAUUAGUAAACCCUAACUCAAAUAUAAAUCCUAAACCCAAAUAUAAACACAAAACCCAAAUAGAAUGGAACAAAAUAAAUAACAUGGUACAUAUAAGUGAAACUAUAAAAUAUCGAUGAUUGCAUGAAAGAAGUUAAUGAUCAUCCCAACCAUACCUCCUCACCUUCUAAAUACUAAACCCUAAAUUAUAGGCACUAAACCCUAAUCCAAAUAUAACCUAAACCCUAAACCUAAAUAAAUAGAUUAAGCUAAACCCUAAUCAAGGAAGUAUAAACCCAAAUAGAAUGUAUAUAAUAUGGUUUACUAUACCGAAACCUUUACUUAGUAAAUCUAAACCCUAGGCAGGAACCUAUAAACCCAAAUACAAUCUAUAAAUUAUUUUCCAAUAUUAAACACUUGAAAGCACAUUUACUUGAAAUAAAUAGAUUAAGCUAAACCCUAAUCAAGAAAAUAUAAACCCAAAUAGAAUAUAUAUAAUAUGGUUUACUAUACCCAAACAUUUACUUAGUAAAUCUAAACCCUAAACUCUAAUCACUAAACCCUAACUCAAAUAUAAACCCUAAACCCAAAUAUAAACACAAAACCCAAAUAGAAUGGAACAAAAUAAAUAACAUAGUACAUAUUGGUGAAACUAUAAAAUAUCUAUGAUUGCAUGAAAGAAGUUAAUGUUCAUCCCAACCAUACCCUCUCACCUUCUAAAUACUAAACCUUACAUUCUAAUCACUAAACCCUAAUCCAAAUAUACCCUAAACCUAAAUAAAUAGAUUAAGCUAAACCCUAAUCAAGGAAGUAUAAACCCAAAUAGAAUGUAUAUAAUAUGGUUUACUAUACCCAAACCUUUACUUAGUAAAUCUAAACCCUAGGCAGGAACCUAUAAACCCAAAUACAAUAUAUACAUUGUUUUCCAAUAUUUAACACUUGAAAUCACAUUUACUUGGUUAGCAUAUUGCAUAUCUUAUAUUCCAUAUAGUCUAAGUAGUAUACUUAACGAAUGUUCCAAAUAAUCAAAUUUGUCCAACACUCGAAAAAUGAAUUUCAUAUUACAAUCAAUCACACAAAUUGACAAAGAAGAGACCUAUCAAAUUUAAAAACAUGAUAUAUUAUUACA